rnacentral:rRNA from 1 species
AGCGAACGCUGGCGGCAGGCCUAACACAUGCAAGUCGAACGAACCUUUCGGGGUUAGUGGCGGACGGGUGAGUAACACGUAGGAACGUGCCUUUAGGUUCGGAAUAACUCAGGGAAACUUGUGCUAAUACCGAAUGUGCCCUUCGGGGGAAAGAUUUAUCGCCUUUAGAGCGGCCCGCGUCUGAUUAGCUAGUUGGUUGAGGUAAUGGCUCACCAAGGCGACGAUCAGUAGCUGGUCUGAGAGGAUGAUCAGCCACAUUGGGACUGAGACACGGCCCAAACUCCUACGGGAGGCAGCAGUGGGGAAUCUUGCGCAAUGGGCGAAAGCCUGACGCAGCCAUGCCGCGUGAAUGAUGAAGGUCUUAGGAUUGUAAAAUUCUUUCACCGGGGACGAUAAUGACGGUACCCGGAGAAGAAGCCCCGGCUAACUUCGUG